AAUGUACUCCCUCCGUCCAGAAAUACUUGUCGGAGAAAUGGAUAAAAAUGAAUGUAUCUAGAAUUAAAAUAUGUCUAGAUACAUCCAUUUCUUCGACGAGUAUUUCCGGACGGAGGGAGUAUAAU
rnacentral:pre_miRNA from 1 species